GCGGGGUUAGUGAAGCGGUCAAACACAGCAGACUGUAAAUCUGCCCUCUUCGAGUUCGUAGGUUCGAAUCCUACACCCCGCACCA
rnacentral:tRNA from 1 species